rnacentral:lncRNA from 1 species
CGAUUGCCCUUUGGUUGAGGGCAAGAAAGCAUGAAGCCUGUGUGUGAAAGUGAACGAGAAAGGAUGGAAAAAGGGGAAGCAAGUACGGACGCGAACUAACCAGUUGAAUCAUCUGUGGUCGCUCAAGUCGCUUAUUCCUAUAUCAGUGCGAAUUAGAAAAACCAUAACUAUUGGCUUUAGCCACACACCAAUGUGAGAAUUCCAGCUCGUGUCUAAUCAGACCAACUCAACUAACAAUACAGGAGCAGCCUAACCUUGGCAAAGGGGGGCGCUUAGGUGGGAAUCAUUUGAAAAG